GUGCUGGCAGGGAAUCAGCAGCAAGCAGGGCACACGCAGCAGAGAGACAGAGAGAGAGGGAGGAAGAGACAGGGAGAGUGUGAGUAGGAUUUCUGCGCUUUAUGACCAAAACCUCACAAUACUUCCCACUCUAGCUAUUCCUCCCUUUCUUCUCUGUGCUCUGAGACAGAGAAACCUCCUCUGGUUGUCUGUAUUUCUUGCUCCAGGCCAGUGCUGACUACUACUGAGGAGAAGAUAGCUGAGGCAGAGGCAGCUCCAGGAGGAUCUGCUGCCUGGUCUGCAUCUCCAGCCUCCACCUCCUCUCCCCCUGCGGAAGGCCGGGUUAGUCCGACAGGAUGGGCUGCACCACUGGCAAACUGGCCUGCCAGACUCCACCCCAGCCCCCAGGAGCCCCGGCCCCUGGACAAGACAAUCAGGCCCUGAGCCAGCUGGAAGCUCAGGGGCCCAAAGUCCCGGAGGUCCUAUCCAGUCUGGAGCGCCUUUCCCAGGCCACGGGCGGCAUGGAGAAGUCCUGGUAUCGCUGCAUCUUCCCCUUUGGCAUCAUCUCAUUGGUGAUCGGUGUGUCGGGCACGGCUGUUACUUACACAUACAACGACCUGCCCCUGACCAAAGUGGUGACGGUAGUGUUGCUUAUAGCCGGCCUGGUGCUGACACUGACCGCCGCCGCCUGCUGGACGGUCCACAAGAGAAAGAAGAGGAAAAUGAAAGAGAGGGCCUCAGGAGCCGGAGGAGGAGGAGGAGGAGGGAGCUCCUUUACCUCAGAGCAGUGCCCUUUGUGAGGAACGCCUGGAGCCUGGGAUAUUCUGACCACACAGGGACAUGAGAGAGGAGAGAAGCCCCAGGAAGGGAGUACCGCCAGGGGGCUGGGCUAGCCACCACCACCAGCCCUCCCUAGUCUUUAUGGAGCCUGGCUGCUCUUGGCUCAGCUCAGAGCUUGGGAAGAGGUGUGGAGAGGAGGACAAGGACUCAGGAAGAGGUGUGGAGAGGAGGAAGACAAGGACUCAGGAAGAGGUGUGGAGAGGAGGAGGACAAGGACUCAGGAAGAGGUGUGGAGAGGAGGAGGACAAGGACUCAGGAAGAGGUGUGGCAAGAAGGAGGGUGAGGACUCAGGAAGAGGUGUGGAGAGGACGAGGACGAGGACACAGGAAGUGGUGUGGAGAGGAGGAGGAUGAGGACUCAGGAAGAGGUGUGGCGAGGAUGAGGGCUAAGGGUUCACGGACAGACAGACAGGCGGAGGAAGUACCUGGGGAAGUCUGAGGAGAGAGGCACAGGGAGAGAGACAGAGGGAGAGAGACAGAGGGAGAGAGACAGAGGGAGAGAGACAGAGGGAGAGAGACAGAGGGAGAGAGGCACAGGGAGAGAGACAGAGGGAGAGAGACAGAGGGAGAGAGACAGAGGGAGAGAGACAGAGAUAGAGAGACAGAGAGAGAGAGAGACAGAGAGAGAGAGAGACAGAGGGAGAGAGACAGAGAGAGAGAGAGAGAGAGACAGAGGGAGAGAGACACAGAGAGAGAGAGACACAGGGAGAGAGAAACGGAUGGUUCUGGCAUGCGGGUUCACCACCUCCUCCACACACGCGCUUCUACCGUCGGACAGCAGGUGUCCAGUGUCAAAACAACCUCUCAGGAGACACACAGGCUCCCUGAGACCCCCUCACACACAUUGACACACACAGCGGGAGCCUCACACAGACACUUCAUCCGCUAUGCCGAGCUGCUGCCGGAGUCAGUGCUGCCGUCACCGGCCGCGUCAGUCGCAGCAUUCCUCCCAGCCAGGACAGGUGACAGGCCGUCCGACUGGUGAAAAGUGGGCCAGCGACGGCAACUCGACACCGGGCCGAAAGAGGAGUGCACCCGCGUCGGUGCCCCGCGUCAUUCACUCGUCCUGUGACACUGCAGCAAUGUGUUGGGGCUUUUGUUACGCAACGGGAGAGUGGAACCUGAGUCCACCAGGAUCUUACUGGCAGCUGGUGGUAGAGGGACGAGGAGAGGAGCAGGAGAGGGCAGGAAAAUUGUGUGUUUAUAUGUGUGAGUGUAUUUGUGUAUGUGUGUGUGUAUAUGUGUGUGUAUAUGUAUGUGUGUGUGUGCAAGAAAGACAUUCUGCUGGACCGAAAGAGUAUGUACAGAACCUGUGGACUUUUUCCAGUGUAAGAACACAAGAACUAAUGUAUGGAACAAAGAAAUCACACAUCUACACUAUUACACUAGACCAGAGUGACCAGUCCCUUCAGUAUUACAGUAGUAGGUCAGUCUGUGCCUUUGUGCCUUUCUGAGGCACAGAAAAGACUACUAUUCUAGACUGUGGAAUACAGACCAAGGAGGAGAAUAUUCCACAUGUCAUAAAGGCUAUAAAGGCCCAAAGGAAACAAUGUCUCUCUGCCUCAGCUAUUGGUAACACAGAAUUCAGAGUUUUUAGGUCCAGCACCGGUGUUAAUCCUGUCAGUGGAAAAGGGACGUGAAGGCAUUUUCCCCCCUGUUUUCUCCAUGCAGCCAUUCUGGGAGUGGAGAGUGGAGUGGAGUGGAGAGUGGAGUGGAGAGAGCUGAGUGAGGGACUGCACUGCACACCUGAUACGCUGUAGUGUGACUAUGAGCAUUGACCUCUGUCAGUUUCUCUGCAGUCGUACGACCUCAGCUCCUCUCUCACAGAGAGAGAGCAAGAGAGAGCGAGCAGGGGACAGGACGGGAUAAAUGAAGGACAUUACUGCUGAGGGGACAUUCCACCGAGGGAGACUUUGACUUGGUGACACUCCACUCUGAGGGACCCCUCCCGUCCCCUUUUCAGUGCCUUGAGCGAGUGGAGCAGAGAACUGGAGAGCUGGAUCAUGGAAAAAGGCUCUGACUUGUGUGUUACCCGUUUCCAUCUGCUUUUCUGCUCUUUGGAGAAUUUCCCCCUCUCUCUCCUCCCUCUCUCUCCUCCUCUUUCUCCUCCUCUCCCUCUCCCUCCUCUCUUUCCUCCUCUCCCUCUCCUCUCUCUCCCUCUCUCUUCUCCUCUCCCUCUUCUCCCUCUCUCUCCUCCUCUCCCUCUCCUUCCUCUCUUUCCUCCUCUCCCUCUCCUCUCUCUCUCCUCCCUCUCUCUUCUCCUCUCCCUCUUCUCCCUCUCUCUCCUCCUCUCCCUCUCCUCCCUCUCUCUCCUCCCUCUCUCUCCUCCUCUCUCUCUCCUCCUCUUUCUCCUCCUCUCCCUCUCCUUCCUCUCUUUCCUCCUCUCCCUCUCCUCUCUCUCCUCCCUCUCUUCUCCUCUCCCUCUUCUCCCUCUCUCUCCUCCUCUUUCUCCUCCUCUCCCUCUCCUUCCUCUCUUUCCUCCUCUCCCUCUCCUCUCUCUCUCUCUCCUCCCUCUCUCAUCUCCUCUCCCUCUUCUCCCUCUCUCUCCUCCUCUCCCUCUCCUUCUCUCCCUCUCCUCCCUCUCUCUCCUCCUCUCCCUCUCCUCCUCUCCCUCUCCUCCCCUUUCUCCUCCUCUCCCUCUCCUUCCUCUCUUUCCUCCUCUCCCUCUCCUCUCUCUCCUCCCUCUCUCUUCUCUCCCUCUUCUCCCUCUCUCUCCUCCUCUUUCUCCUCCUCUCCCUCUCCUUCCUCUCUUUCCUCCUCUCCCUCUCCUCUCUCUCUCUCUCCUCCCUCUCUCAUCUCCUCUCCCUCUUCUCCCUCUCUCUCCUCCUCUCCCUCUCCUCCUCUCCAUCUCCUCCCUCUCUCUCCUCCACUCCCUCUCCUCCCUCUCUCUCCUCCACUCCCUCUCCUCCCUCUCUCUCCUCCCUCUCUCUCCUCCACUCCCUCUCCUCCUCUCUCUCUCUCUCCUCCCUCUCUCUCCUCCUCUCCCUCUCCUCCCUCGACCCUGACAGACAGACAGCUAUCUCAGGGGGAGACAACCCUCCCUCCCUCACAUUACUAUUACCAUUAAAACAUUUCCCACUCCCCCCUCACCAUUUUUCUCAUCUCUCGUGGAAUAGCCUGUUGUGACUGACCACUGGAGGAGACUGGGACUACUGCAGCACGACAAACACGCAAACACACACACACGCAAACACAGACACACGCAAACACACUCAAAGACCGGUUUUCCAUCCUUUCCUCUCUUUCCUCAAUGUUCCUGAAAAAUUAGGAAACUGCUCAGGGAUCUGGGAAACCCCUCUCUUGCGGUGGUGAGGAUUUAUUAAUGGCAUUCAUUUGAUUGGACCAUCCUCAUUUUGUACUGAUGAAUCAGUGUUUUAAAAGGAUCUGUACAGGUUUGUGUCAUUAGGGAAUAGAGGCAGUGGACUCAUCUAGCUUCUCUCAAUAGAUGUUCUGAGAAUGAGUAGGCUAGGCUACACAGUGUUACUGAGGUAACCACUUGGGCUGAUUGUCCUGAUGAUAGAACUAACAUUGAUGAUUGUCUUGAUGAUAGAACUAACAUAUUGAUGAUUGUCUUGAUGAUAGAACUAACAUAUUGAUGAUUGUCUUGAUGAUAGAACUAACAUAUUGAGUGUGUCUUGAUGAUAGAACUAACAUAUUGAUGAUUGUCUUGAUGAUAGAACUAACAUAUUGAUGAUUGUCUUGAUGAUAGAACUAACAUAUUGAUGAUUGUCUUGAUGAUAGAACUAACAUUGAUAAUUGUCUUGAUGAUAGAACUAACAUAUUGAUGAUUGUCUUGACGAUAGAACUAACAUUGAUGAUUGUCUUGAUGAUAGAACUAACAUUGAUGGUUGUCUUGACGAUAGAACUAACAUAUUGACGGUGGUCUUGACUACUACAGUGUAUCUCUGGAUGCGUAGAGAGAGUUAAAUGGGUGUAGAUUAGAAUGCACAUACACGUCAACAGAGGUAGAGAAGGGAGUCUGGCCUUCAGUCUGGAGCGGUGCCUGUUUUAAACGGGCUCUCCCCUUGACAAAAGUGUCAUUGAUUAGCCAAGUAUUGACCCAGUCCUAUAGAACACCAAUGGCGUCUAGCAAGGUGUUAAAUGUGUCUAUGCAUAAAGAGAAAACAGAUACAUAGCCUUUCAGUGCCAAAGACUCGGUCUGCAUCCCAAAUGGCACCCUAUUCCAUAUUUAGUGCACUACUUUUGACCAGAACCCCGGUCAUAUGUAGUGCACUAUAUAGGGAAAAGGGUGCCAAUAAAGACGCAGCCUCUCUCCACUCACAGGUCAGCCUCAGCUCUAUGGUUACAUGUCUAGUGUAGUAGGAUAGACAUGCAAUGGCAUGGAUCAGCCCUUUCUCCUGCUUUUGCCUUUGUCCCGAAAAUGUUGCAGUUUAUUGUGUGUGAAUGUACUGUAACUAUGCCCUCUAUUGAAUGUGUUAGUCAGUACAGCUUUGUCUUAUAUCCUCUACUCUACUGAACCCAGCCAAACUGAGGUGAGCUCUACUGCGCUGGCCUACUGGAAUUAUGCUGGAAACAUUUGAUGAACUAACGCAGUAUGGUUCAGAUUGGCACGAUAGUGUGAAAAGGCUGUGAGAGAGAGAGAGAGAGAGAGACAGAGAGAGAGAUGGAAAAAGUACCCAAUUAUCAUACCUGAGUAAAAGUAUAGAUACCUUAAUAGAAAGUUACUCAAGUAAAAGUGAAAGUCACCCAGUAAAAUACUACUUGAGUAAAAGUCUUAAAGUAUUUGGUUCUAAAUACACUUAAGUAGUCUUAAAGUAAAUGUAAUUGCUAAAAUAUACUUAAGUAUCAAAAGUAAAAGUAUGAAUCAUUUCAAAUUCCUUAUAUAAAUCAAGAACAGACGGCACUAUUUUCUUGUUUUUAAAAUGUACGGAUAGCCAGGGGUACACAUUAACACUCAGACAUCAUUUACAAACGAUGCAUAUGUGUUUAGUGAGUCAGCCAGAUCUGAGGCAGUAGGGAUGACCAGGGAUGUUCUCUUGAUAAGUGCGUGAAUUGGACCAUUUUCCUGUCCUGCUAAGCACUCAACAUGCAACAAGUACUUUUGGGUGUCAGAGAAAAUGUAUGUAGUAAAAACUACAUUAUUUUCUUUAGGAAUGUAGUGAAGUAAAAGUACCCCAAAAAACUACUUAAGUAGUACUUUAAAUUAUUUUUACUUAAGUACUUUACACCACUGGUCAUUCUGAACGGAAUACGAUUAUUAUUUAGAGUUAGAAUGCUUUACUGGAAACGGCACUGAAAAUGUCUCUGAACUCUGGCUGCUCUGGCGCAGGAUAAAGGCAGUGGUCCGGGCGUUAAGCCACAGAAUAGGAAUGCUGCCUUCUUGUCCUUUUUGUUACUGGACAGAAUAACAAGUGGCUUUACUAGCUUGGUGGCGUUUCUUAGUGAAAACAGUUUCUGGCUUUACUGGCUGAAGUAGCUGGGUUCUCCAGUACUCUCACUGGGCACAGACGUCAAUUUAACGUCUAUUCAACGUAAUUUCAUUGAAAUGACAUGCAAACAGCGUUGAUACAACCAGUGUGGCCACAGUGGGAUGUGUAUACUAUUCUAUGUGCUUUACAGCCAGCUCUACUGACUUGCGUCGUCACGGCAUGCCAUACAUUGUUAGUCGAGUUUGGCAUGACAACGGACACGACCAAGGAGUCAGGCUGAGGCUCAAACACGUCUGCUACCAGCAGGCUAGCUUCAAAAGGUCUUUUCACAUUGCGUGUGGUUAUCCCAAGUCUAUACUUAACCCCAGACGCUCUUAGUCCUGGGCUAGAAACGCUAGAGCAGGGGUUCUCAAAGUGGGGUCUGCAGACCCCUGGGAAGGGGAAAACUGAAAACUAGCUGUUAUUGGCAGAGAGGUUUGGAACUCUCUUUCUUAUUGGUCUAUUAACUAAUUUAUUGCUAGAACAAAACACCAUCCCAUCAAAACAUGCUGAAAUUUUAGGUGGACUUUUCAACAGCUCUUACAGCAUUAUCAUAAUUUUCCCAAUUUCACAGUAUUAUUCCAACCUCAUAGUGUGGAAAUAUAUAAAUAUAAUGUUUGACUGCACUGGGCCUUUAAAACAGCAAAGUUGUACAUGCCUCAUUACAAAAUGUGUAGAAUUGCAGGAAAUGUGCUUGAAAACUGCAACAUUUUCUCUCUGAUGCCAAGAGGCGAGCUUUAAAUUGUUCCUUUCCCUGGCCAGAGACUUGGUUCAUCCAGCCAUGCACUGCUGAAGUCAUGGUAAGACUGGAGUAAAACUGGAGUUGUUCUGUUGAAUUUCCUUUUUUUUCUCUUGCACUAAUUGAACAUGAUUAAUGAAGACUGAGGAACAUAUUUAUUUCAUGAGUCUCUGGUGACUUACGCUGUUAUGUUUCUAUUUCCGUGGAGUAUUUGCCACAAAUAGUAACAUAACAUAGUUUUAAAUUGAAAGGAAGCCAAGUCUGAAUAUCAAAAGAAGCAGGGUGGGAUAUUUAUAAAAGAGAUGAUUUGUAGGCAGCGCUCUGAGAAUCCCUUAGAAGAGAGAGAGAGAGAGACAGAGACAAGGCCCCAGGUGGUUCUGAUGUUUACUGAUGAUUACAUUGUAACCAUAUCUUUCUCUCCCUCUCUCUCCCUUUAUAUGUCAUUCUCUCUCCCUCUCUCUCCAUUUAUCUCUCUCUCUCUCUCUCUCUCUCGGUCAUGGUCUCCCCCUCUCUCUCCCUUCAUAUGUCACUCUCUCUCCCUCUCUCUCCAUUUAUGUCUCUCUCUCUCGGUCUUGGUCUCUCCCUUCAUAUGUCACUCUCUCUCCCUCUCUCUCCAUUUAUGUCUAUCUCUCUCUCUCUCUCUCUCUCUCUCUCUCGGUCUCUCUCCCUUCAUAUGUCACUCUCUCUCCAUUUAUCUCUCUCUCUCUUGGUCUUGGUGUCUCCUCUGUGCAGCGUGUUCUUCUAUUAGAGAGAGAGAGAGAGAGAGAGAGAGAGAGAGAGAGAGAGAGAGAGAGAGAGAGAGAAAGAGAGAGAGAACCCAAUUGUCAUACUUGAGUAAAAGUAUAGAUACCUUAAUAGAGAGAGCGAGAGAGUUGUGCAAUUUCAUUGAGAGAAAUGUACCGCAAAGUACUACGUGCAGAGAAUACAGUCACAAGCAGUUAGGCUGUCAUUCUAACCACACACAGAGACACUGAAACAACACACACACACACACACACACACACACACACACACACACACACACACACACACACACACACACACACACACACACACACACACAUGGACACACACGGACACACACACACGGACACACACAUGCGCACGCACACGGAUAUGCACAGUCCGACACGUAGGUCUCUGAACACCUACGCAAUCCCACAUGCAUGUACUGUGUGUGUUCAGCUGUGUGUGUUCUGCUGUGUGUGUUCUGCUGUGUGUGUUCAGCUGUGUGUGAUCAGCUGUUUGUGUUCAGCUGUGUGCUUGCUUGUGAGGGGAAAAUCUCGUUAUGUAAUCAUAUAUACAGUACGUAGUAGUACUUGAUGUGAUACUUGAAUAGCACUUAGGUCGUGUUCAUUAGGGCACACUGUAGCAUAAGAUUUUACAACGGAAUAUGAAAACUAACGUUUCUCAUUGGAUAAGUUCAGGUACUUCCACACUACUUGGGUCUGUUUUCUUCCGUUCGGUGCCUAAUGAACACGUCCCUGGUAUGAGGUGAUGUGAUGUAAAGAUGGAAUGAUGAUUAUGCUGCAAAAGAGAAGAGAGAAAAAGAGGGACAUUACCUCUACUCCGGGUGAGGGAUGUCUUUAACAAAUAGUGGACAGCCAUGUCUGUCUGCUGAAACCAAUGCUGUUUAUUUGUCACUAGUGACAGAAAAUGUGUCUGUCUGCCCAUUAUGAAUAUUCUAUGGUGAAUACAACUGUAUUUAUAUUUGGAUAUUUAUACUCUAUAUCUGAACGUGUAUAUUUUAAUUGUUGUAGUACCCCUUUCCCGCAGUUAAAUGACCUAGUGGCCUCAUGGGUGGAAUGUUAUUCAUAUUUUUCAUAAUUUCAUAAUUAAUAAACAUUAUUUUUUUAAACCCACCGAAAAUCUGGUGUUUCUAUGUCAAACAGUUUUGUUAUAUUUCACUCUUCUGUGAUGUAUAUGAAGUGUAAUAUUGGGAUUCAAACAUUUCCUAUCUGGCAUCUUCUUUUUUUGUUGUUGCCCAUAACCUUGUGUGUGAG
rnacentral:lncRNA from 1 species